AAACAAACUCACUCAGAAGGAUAAUGCAGACAGCGGAGCGCAGUUCAUUAACCAGGUGGGCCCAAGGCAGAGUCUCCUCUUAGCCGAGGACCCGACCAGUUUUUGUGAAAACCUUAUAUACCCUAAGUGUAUAAGGUUCCCUGAUACUAGUCUGAACUGAGGAAAAAGAAAGAUAGAAUCAAGUUAACCAAGGAUCAUAUGCCUUAAGCCUAGGUAGUUAACAGUGGACAAUUAUCAAUAAGCCUGGGGUCAUACUCCAAUAAGCAUAACAGAAUGUAUGAUUCUAUUCGGUUACACAGACAAUCAGGCUAUUCUUUUAGGCGAUGGAGAGCCCUGGGCUCUUCCUUCUGCGGGCCUGGUUUUCCAGUUGGUUGUCGUUUCCAUAGAUACUGGGCAAGUAGCUGAAAGUCCACAGUCCAGCCCCAGAUGGAGCCCUGCUCUCAAGAUGAAGCCUGUUCUGUUUCCUCCAUCAUGGAAUACCCAUCCCUACAAUACUUCUGACUGUAUUUUCCUGUAA
rnacentral:lncRNA from 1 species